GUGGGGAAUAUUGGACAAUGGGCGCAAGCCUGAUCCAGCCAUGCCGCGUGAGUGAUGAAGGCCUUCGGGUUGUAAAGCUCUUUAGCCGAUGAUUAUAAUGACUGUAGUCGGAAAAUAAGCCCCGGCUAACUUCGUGCCAGCAGCCGCGGUAAUACGAAGGGGGCGAGCGUUAUUCGGAAUCACUGGGCGUAAAGCGUGCGUAGGCGGUUUUGUAAGUUAGGAGUGAAAGCCCAGGGCUCAACCCUGGAAUUGCUCUUAAAACUACAAGGCUAGAAUGUCGGAGAGGAUAGCGGAAUUUCCAGUGUAGCAGUGAAAUGCGUAGAUAUUGGAAGGAACACCAGUGGCGUAAGCGGCUAUCUGGACGACUAUUGACGCUGAGGCACGAAAGCGUGGGGAUCAAACAGGAUUAGAUACCCUGGUAGUCC
rnacentral:rRNA from 1 species